rnacentral:lncRNA from 13 species
AUGCUUAACACCCCAGCCAUCCUACAAUCUAAACUUGAUGCCCUCAAUCUCACACAAAUUAUCAAUGAACCUACCAGGUACCUCCCCAAAGCCUUAAACAUGGGCACCCUCAUAGAUAUCAUCCUAACCAACUUCCCCUCUAAAUACACCUCUGCUGUCUUCAACCAAGAUCUCAGCGAUCACUGCCUCAUUGCCUGCAUCCGUAAUGGGUCAGCGGUCAAACGACCUCCUCUCAUCACUGUAAAACGCUCCCUGAAGCACUUCAGCGAGCAGGCCUUUCUAAUCGACCUGGCCGGGGUAUCCUGGAAGGAUAUUGACCUCAUCCCGUCAGUAGAGGAUGCCUGGAUAUUUUUUAAAAAUGCCUUCCUAACCAUCUUAAAUAAACAUGCCCCAUUCAAGAAAUUUAGAACCAGGAACAGAUAUAGCCCUUGGUUCUCCCCAGACCUGACUGCCCUUAACCAACACAAAAACAUCCUAUGGCGUUCUGCAUUAGCAUCGAACAGCCCCCGUGAUAUGCAGCUGUUCAGGGAAGCUAGAAACCAUUAUACACAGGCAGUUAGAAAAGCCAAGGCUAGCUUUUUCAAGCAGAAAUUUGCUUCUUCCAACACUAACUCAAAAAAGUUCUGGGACACUGUAAAGUCCAUGGAGAAUAAGAACACCUCCUCCCAGCUGCCCACUGCACUGAAGAUAGGAAACACUGUCACCACUGAUAAAUCCACCAUAAUUGAACAUUUCAAUAAGCAUUUUUCUACUGCUGGCCAUGCUUUCCACCUGGCUACUCCUACCCCUGUCAACAGCACUGCACCCCCAACAGCAACUCGCCCAAGCCUUCCCCAUUUCUCCUUCUCCCAAAUCCAUUCAGCUGAUGUUCUGAAAGAGCUGCAAAAUCUGGACCCCUACAAAUCAGCCGGGCUAGACAAUCUGGACCCUUUCUUUCUAAAAUUAUCUGCCGAAAUUGUUGCCACCCCUAUUACUAGCCUGUUCAACCUCUCUUUCGUGUCGUCUGAGAUUCCCAAAGAUUGGAAAGCAGCUGCGGUCAUCCCCCUCUUCAAAGGGGGGGACACUCUUGACCCAAACUGCUACAGACCUAUAUCUAUCCUACCAUGCCUUUCUAAGGUCUUCGAAAGCCAAGUCAACAAACAGAUAACCGACCAUUUUGAAUCUCACCAUACCUUCUCUGCUAUGCAAUCUGGUUUCAGAGCUGGUCAUGGGUGCACCUCAGCCACGCUCAAGGUCCUAAACGAUAUCUUAACCGCCAUCGAUAAGAAACAUUACUGUGCAGCCGUAUUCAUUGAUCUGGCCAAGGCUUUCGACUCUGUCAAUCACCACAUCCUCAUCGGCAGACUCAACAGCCUUGGUUUCUCAAAUGAUUGCCUCGCCUGGUCCACCAACUACUUCUCUGAUAGAGUUCAGUGUGUCAAAUCGGAGGGUCUGUUGUCCGGACCUCUGGCAGUCUCUAUGGGGGUGCCACAGGGUUCAAUUCUUGGACCGACUCUCUUCUCUGUAUACAUCAAUGAGGUCUUGCUGCUGGUGAGUCUCUGA